rnacentral:rRNA from 1 species
UACGGAGGGUGCAAGCGUUAUCCGGAUUUACUGGGUUUAAAGGGUGCGUAGGCGGACUUUUAAGUCAGUGGUGAAAGCUCCGAGCUUAGCUCGGAAACUGCCGUUGAUACUAUUUGUCUUGAAUAUUGUGGAGGUAAGCGGAAUAUGUCAUGUAGCGGUGAAAUGCUUAGAUAUGACAUAGAACACCAAUUGCGAAGGCAGCUUACUACACAACGAUUGACGCUGAGGCACGAAAGCGUGGGGAUCAAACAGG